CUCGGAUCUCCGAAUGGGGCAACCCCACCGAUAGGUGACUCCGGUCUGAAUGCAUAGGACCGGUAGAGCGAACGCAGCGAACUGAAACAUCUCAGUAGCUGUAGGAAAGGAAAGCAACAGCGACUCCGCAAGUAGCGCCGAGCGAACGCGGACCUAAGCGGGAAACGUACGAACGACCUGGAAAGGUCGGCCAAAGAAGGUGAUAGCCCUGUACGACGGGAACCGUGAAUGGCUUCAAGUAGAGUCAGGCUCGAGAAACCUGGCUUGAACAUGGGGGGACCACCCUCCAAGCCUGAGUACUACUCAAUGACCGAUAGUGAACCAGUAAGGCGACUGAACGGUGAAAAGCACCCCGACAAGGGGAGUGAAAUAGCACCUGAAAUCACGUGCUUACACAGCGGUCACGGCCCGCAAGGGUUGUGGCGUGCCUUUUGCAUAAUGAUCUGGCGAGUUACUGUCUGCGGCAAGGGUAAGCCUUAUCCAGGCGCACCCGAAGCGAAAGCGAGUCUUAAAAGGGCGUCAAGUUGCAGGCGGUAGGCGCGAAACCGGUUGAUCUACCCAUGGGCAGGUUGAAGAGAGGGUAAAACCUCUUGGAGGACCGAAGCCGUGAACGUUGAAAAGUUCUGGCAUGACCUGUGGGGAGGGCUUAAAGUGCAAUCAUAACCGGAGAUAUCUCGUUCUCUCCGAAAUAGUUUUUGGACUAGCCUCAGCAUGUCAGUACACGGGGGUAGAGCUACUGAAUGGGGUCUGGGGGCCUACCCGGCUACCCGCCCCAAUCAAACUCCGAAUACCGUGUACGUAGCGCUGGGAGUAAGACUACGAGGGAUAAUCUUCGUGGUCAAAAGGGAAACAACCCGGACCAUCGGCUAAGGUCCCUAAGUAAUGCUCAGUUGAAAAGGUAGUCAGAAUGCAGUGACAGCCAGGAUGUUGGCUUAGAAGCAGCCACCAUUUAAAAAGUGCGUAACAGCUUACUGGUCGAGGAUUCUGGCGCCAAUAAUUAUCGGGGAUAAGCAUUACACCGAAGCCGUGGGACUCGUAUGAGUCGGUAGGAGAGCGUUGCUGUCAGCGUCGAAGUUUUCCCGUAAGGGUUGAUGGAGCGGCAGCAAGUGAAUAUGCCAGAUUGAGUAACGAUUAAUGCAGUGAGAAUCUGCAUCCCCGUAUGCCCAAGGUUUCCUGGGGAAGGUAAUUCCGCCCAGGGUUAGUCGGAUCCUAAGGCGAGGCCGAAAGGCGUAGUCGAUGGACAGCUUGGUUAAUAUUCCAGCACCCUCGCGUAGGUUGAUGGCAGGUGACGGAUUUCCAUAUCUCAACGGGACAGUGAAGCGUCCAGGCCUUUGGGCCGAGGUUGGGUGAGGAAGUCUCAAGAAAAGCCCUGCCGGACGUUUGCGAGGUCCGUACCAAAACUGACACAGGUGGGCGUGGCGAAUAGCCUCAGGGGCUCGAGAAAACGGUCCUGAAGGAACUAGGCAAUCUAACCCCGUAAGUUCGCGAUAAGGGGGCCCUACUCGCAAGAGAGGGCGCAGAGAAAAGGCUCUGGGAACUGUUUAUCAAAAACACAGCACUGUGCUAACUCGCAAGAGGAUGUAUACAGUGUGACGCUUGCCCGGUGCCGGAACGUCAAGGGAGCUGGUCAGCGCAAGCGAAGCUAGCGACCGAAGCGCCGGUAAACGGCGGCCGUAACUCUGACGGUCCUAAGGUAGCGAAGUUCCUUGUCGGGUAAGUUCCGACGCGCAUGAAUAGCGUAAUCACUGGAGCACUGUCUCCAGGACCGACUCGGUGAAAUAGUAGUGGCGGAAUAUCGUGACUGGGAAACAGAUCGGAAGAGCACACGUCUGAACUCCAGUCACCGGCUAUGAUCUCGUAUGC
rnacentral:rRNA from 1 species